AUAUUGUCAAAACAAGACAAAAACAAAAAUGACACUAUUCACAUCUGAAUUUGUCUUUUUUUUGUUUCUAUUUUGAAUUUUGAACUGAAUUUUUUAGGGGUUGUCGACAUAUGUGUUGUGAACAUGCAUGAUUUUUUUCAGAAUUUUUUAACAUGUUUAAAUUUGAAUUUUGCAAGUUGGUAGCAUUUAAGAGUUGGUAUCAGCAUAUUGUCCUUUCCCGUGUUUGUGUAAGCUAGUAGCAUUUGGUGUAGGCUAGCAUCUGGGCCAUGUGGAAAUCAAUGGAGAAAUUUUUCGGAGUGGCAUUGGAGCGUGCCGCGGGGAGGGGAAGCUAGGUGGCGUUGUGGCCAUGGGGUCGACGUGUUUGUGUGGGAAAGCUUCAGGUGAUAUCAGUCCUUCAAUGAUACCAUGAUACCAACUUGUAAGAUUCAAAUUUGGACGUGUCAAAAAAUUCUGAAAAAAUAUCAUAGAUGUUCGCAACACAUGGGUUAACAACCGCUAAAAAAUCAGAUCAAAAUUCGACAUACACAAAGUGAAACAAAAAAGGCAAAUCCAUCAUGAAUAUUGUCAAAACAAGACAAAAACAAAAAUGACACUAUUCACAUCUGAAUUUGUCUAUUUUUUGUUUCUAUUUUGAAUUUUGAACUGAAUUUUUUAGGGGUUGUCGACAUAUGUGUUGUGAACAUGCAUGAUUUUUUUCAGAAUUUUUUGACAAGUUUAAAUUUGAAUUUUGCAAGUUGGUAGCAUUUAAGAGUUGGUAUCAGCAUAUUGUCCUUUCCCGUGUUUGUGUAAGCUAGUAGCAUUUUGUGUAGGCUAGCAUCUGGGCCAUGUGGAAAUCAAUGGAGAAAUUUUUCGGAGUGGCAUUGGAGCGUGCCGCGGCGAGGGGAAGCUAGGUGGCGUUGUGGCCAUGGGGUCGACGUGUUUGUGUGGGAAAGCUUCAGGUGAUAUCAGUCCUUCAAUGAUACCAUGAUACCAACUUGUAAGAUUCAAAUUUGGACGUGUCAAAAAAUUCUGAAAAAAUAUCAUAGAUGUUCGCAACACAUGGGUUAACAACCGCUAAAAAAUCAGACCAAAAUUCGACAUACACAAAGUGAAACAAAAACGGCAAAUCCAUCAUGAAUAUUGUCAAAACAAGACAAAAACAAAAAUGACACUAUUCACAUCUGAAUUUGUCUUCUUCUUUUUUCUAUUUUGAAUUUUGAACUGAAUUUUUUAGGGGUUGUCGACAUAUGUGUUGUGAGCAUGCAUGAUUUUUUACAGAAUUUUUUGACAUGUUUAAAUUUGAAUUUUGUAAGUUGUUAGCAUUUAAGAGUUGGUAUCAGCAUAUUGUCCUUUCCCGUGUUUGUGUAAGCUAGUAGCAUUUUGUCUAGACUAGCAUCUGGGCCGUGUGGAAAUCAAUGGAGAAAUUUUUCGGAGUGGCAUUGGAGCGUGCCGCGGGGAGGGGAAGCUAGGUGGCGUUGUGGCCAUGGGGUCGACGUGUUUGUGUGGGAAAGCUUCAGGUGAUAUCAGUCCUUCAAUCAUACCAUGAUACCAACUUGUAAGAUUCAAAUUUGGACGUGUCAAAAAAUUCUGAAAAAAUAUCAUAGAUGUUCGCAACACAUGGGUUAACAACCGCUAAAAAAUCAGAUCAAAAUUCGACAUACACAAAGUGAAACAAAAAAGGCAAAUCCAUCAUGAAUAUUGUCAAAACAAGACAAAAACAAAAAUGACACUAUUCACAUCUGAAUUUGUCUAUUUUUUGUUUCUAUUUUGAAUUUUGAACUGAAUUUUUUAGGGGUUGUCGACAUAUGUGUUGUGAACAUGCAUGAUUUUUUUCAGAAUUUUUUGACAGUUUAAAUUUGAAUUUUGCAAGUUGGUAGCAUUUAAGAGUUGGUAUCAGCAUAUUGUCCUUUCCCGUGUUUGUGUAAGCUAGUAGCAUUUUGUGUAGGCUAGCAUCUGGGCCAUGUGGAAAUCAAUGGAGAAAUUUUUCGGAGUGGCAUUGGAGCGUGCCGCGGGAAGGGGAAGCUAGGUGGCGUUGUGGCCAUGGGGUCGACGUGUUUGUGUGGGAAAGCUUCAGGUGAUAUCAGUCCUUCAAUGAUACCAUGAUACCAACUUGUAAGAUUCAAAUUUGGACGUGUCAAAAAAUUCUGAAAAAAUAUCAUAGAUGUUCGCAACACAUGGGUUAACAACCCCUAAAAAAUCAGACCAAAAUUCAACAUACACAAAGUGAAACAAAAACGGCAAAUCCAUCAUGAAUAUUGUCAAAACAAGACAAAAACAAAAAUGACACUAUUCACAUCUGAAUUUGUCUUUUUUUUGUUUCUAUUUUGAAUUUUGAACUGAAUUUUUUAGGGGUUGUCGACAUAUGUGUUGUGAACAUGCAUGAUUUUUUUAAGAAUUUUUUGACAUGUUUAAAUUUGAAUUUUGCAAGUUGGUAGCAUUUAAGAGUUGGUAUCAGCAUAUUGUCCUUUCCCGUGUUUGUGUAAGCUAGUAGCAUUUUGUGUAGGCUAGCAUCUGGGCCAUGUGGAAAUCAAUGGAGAAAUUUUUCGGAGUGGCAUUGGAGCGUGCCGCGGGGAGGGGAAGCUAGGUGGCGUUGUGGCCAUGGGGUCGACGUGUUUGUGUGGGAAAGCUUCAGGUGAUAUCAGUCCUUCAAUGAUACUAUGAUACCAACUUGUAAGAUUCAAAUUUGGACGUGUCAAAAAAUUCUGAAAAAAUAUCAUAGAUGUUCGCAACACAUAGGUUAACAACCGCUAAAAAAUCAGACCAAAAUUCGACAUACACAAAGUGAAACAAAAACGGCAAAUCCAUCAUGAAUAUUGUCAAAACAAGACAAAAACAAAAAUGACACUAUUCACAUCUGAAUUUGUCUUCUUUUUUUUUCUAUUUUGAAUUUUGAACUGAAUUUUUUAGGGGUUGUCGACAUAUGUGUUGUGAGCAUGCAUGAUUUUUUACAGAAUUUUUUAACAUGUUUAAAUUUGAAUUUUGUAAGUUGUUAGCAUUUAAGAGUUGGUAUCAGCAUAUUGUCCUUUCCCGUGUUUGUGUAAGCUAGUAGCAUUUUGUGUAGACUAGCAUCUGGGCCGUGUGGAAAUCAAUGGAGAAAUUUUUCGGAGUGGCAUUGGAGCGUGCCGCGGGGAGGGGAAGCUAGGUGGCGUUGUGGCCAUGGGGUCGACGUGUUUGUGUGGGAAAGCUUCAGGUGAUAUCAGUCCUUCAAUGAUACCAUGAUACCAACUUGUAAGAUUCAAAUUUGGACGUGUCAAAAAAUUCUGAAAAAAUAUCAUAGAUGUUCGCAACACAUGGGUUAACAACCGCUAAAAAAUCAGAUCAAAAUUCGACAUACACAAAGUGAAACAAAAAAGGCAAAUCCAUCAUGAAUAUUGUCAAAACAAGACAAAAACAAAAAUGACACUAUUCACAUCUGAAUUUGUCUAUUUUUUGUUUCUAUUUUGAAUUUUGAACUGAAUUUUUUAGGGGUUGUCGACAUAUGUGUUGUGAACAUGCAUGAUUUUUUUCAGAAUUUUUUGACAAGUUUAAAUUUGAAUUUUGCAAGUUGGUAGCAUUUAAGAGUUGGUAUCAGCAUAUUGUCCUUUCCCGUGUUUGUGUAAGCUAGUAGCAUUUUGUGUAGGCUAGCAUCUGGGCCAUGUGGAAAUCAAUGGAGAAAUUUUUCGGAGUGGCAUUGGAGCGUGCCGCGGGGAGGGGAAGCUAGGUGGCGUUGUGGCCAUGGGGUCGACGUGUUUGUGUGGGAAAGCUUCAGGUGAUAUCAGUCCUUCAAUGAUACCAUGAUACCAACCUGUAAGAUUCAAAUUUGGACGUGUCAAAAAAUUCUGAAAAAAUAUCAUAGAUGUUCGCAACACAUGGGUUAACAACCGCUAAAAAAUCAGAUCAAAAUUCGACAUACACAAAGUGAAACAAAAACGGCAAAUCCAUCAUGAAUAUUGUCAAAACAAGACAAAAACAAAAAUGACACUAUUCACAUCUGAAUUUGUCUUUUUUUUGUUUCUAUUUUGAAUUUUGAACUGAAUUUUUUAGGGGUUGUCGACAUAUGUGUUGUGAACAUGCAUGAUUUUUUUCAGAAUUUUUUGACAUGUUUAAAUUUGAAUUUUGCAAGUUGGUAGCAUUAAAGAGUUGGUAUCAGCAUAUUGUCCUUUCCCGUGUUUGUGUAAGCUAGUAGCAUUUUGUGUAGGCUAGCAUCUGGGCCAUGUGGAAAUCAAUGGAGAAAUUUUUCGGAGUGGCAUUGGAGCGUGCCGCGGGGAGGGGAAGCUAGGUGGCGUUGUGGCCAUGGGGUCGACGUGUUUGUGUGGGAAAGCUUCAGGUGAUAUCAGUCCUUCAAUGAUACCAUGAUACCAACUUGUAAGAUUCAAAUUUGGACGUGUCAAAAAAUUCUGAAAAAAUAUCAUAGAUGUUCGCAACACAUGGGUUAACAACCGCUAAAAAAUCAGACCAAAAUUCGACAUACACAAAGUGAAACAAAAACGGCAAAUCCAUCAUGAAUAUUGUCAAAACAAGACAAAAACAAAAAUGACACUAUUCACAUCUGAAUUUGUCUUUUUUUGGUUUCUAUUUUGAAUUUCGAACUGAAUUUUUUAGGGGUUGUCGACAUAUGUGUUGUGAACAUGCAUGAUUUUUAGAAUUUUUUGACAUGUUUAAAUUUGAAUUUUGCAAGUUGGUAGCAUUUAAGAGUUGGUAUCAGCAUAUUGUCCUUCCCGUGUUUGUGUAAGCUAGUAGCAUUUUGUGUAGGCUAGCAUCUGGGCCGUGUGGAAAUCAAUGGAGAAAUUUUUCGGAGUGGCAUUGGAGCGUGCCACGGGGAGGGGAAGCUAGGUGGCGUUGUGGCCAUGGGGUCGACGUGUUUGUGUGGGAAAGCUUCAGGUGAUAUCAGUCCUUCAAUGAUACCAUGAUACCAACCUGUAAGAUUCAAAUUUGGACGUGUCAAAAAAUUCUGAAAAAAUAUCAUAGAUGUUCGCAACACAUGGGUUAACAACCGCUAAAAAAUCAGAUCAAAAUUCGACAUACACAAAGUGAAACAAAAACGGCAAAUCCAUCAUGAAUAUUGUCAAAACAAGACAAAAACAAAAAUGACACUAUUCACAUCUGAAUUUGUCUUUUUUUUUUGUUUCUAUUUUGAAUUUUGAACUGAAUUUUUUAGGGGUUGUCGACAUAUGUGUUGUGAACAUGCAUGAUUUUUUUCAGAAUUUUUUGACAUGUUUAAAUUUGAAUUUUGCAAGUUGGUAGCAUUUAAGAGUUGGUAUCAGCAUAUUGUCCUUUCCCGUGUUUGUGUAAGCUAGUAGCAUUUUGUGUAGGCUAGCAUCUGGGCCGUGUGGAAAUCAAUGGAGAAAUUUUUCGGAGUGGCAUUGGAGCGUGCCGCGGGGAGGGGAAGCUAGGUGGCGUUGUGGCCAUGGGGUCGACGUGUUUGUGUGGGAAAGCUUCAGGUGAUAUCAGUCCUUCAAUGAUACCAUGAUACCAACUUGUAAGAUUCAAAUUUGGACGUGUCAAAAAAUUCUGAAAAAAUAUCAUAGAUGUUCGCAACACAUGGGUUAACAACCGCUAAAAAAUCAGAUCAAAAUUCGACAUACACAAAGUGAAACAAAAAAGGCAAAUCCAUCAUGAAUAUUGUCAAAACAAGACAAAAACAAAAAUGACACUAUUCACAUCUGAAUUUGUCUAUUUUUUGUUUCUAUUUUGAAUUUUGAACUGAAUUUUUUAGGGGUUGUCGACAUAUGUGUUGUGAACAUGCAUGAUUUUUUUCAGAAUUUUUUGACAAGUUUAAAUUUGAAUUUUGCAAGUUGGUAGCAUUUAAGAGUUGGUAUCAGCAUAUUGUCCUUUCCGUGUUUGUGUAAGCUAGUAGCAUUUUGUGUAGGCUAGCAUCUGGGCCAUGUGGAAAUCAAUGGAGAAAUUUUUCGGAGUGGCAUUGGAGCGUGCCGCGGGGAGGGGAAGCUAGGUGGCGUUGUGGCCAUGGGGUCGACGUGUUUGUGUGGGAAAGCUUCAGGUGAUAUCAGUCCUUCAAUGAUACCAUGAUACCAACCUGUAAGAUUCAAAUUUGGACGUGUCAAAAAAUUCUGAAAAAAUAUCAUAGAUGUUCGCAACACAUGGGUUAACAACCGCUAAAAAAUCAGAUCAAAAUUCGACAUACACAAAGUGAAACAAAAACGGCAAAUCCAUCAUGAAUAUUGUCAAAACAAGACAAAAACAAAAAUGACACUAUUCACAUCUGAAUUUGUCUUUUUUUUGUUUCUAUUUUGAAUUUUGAACUGAAUUUUUUAGGGGUUGUCGACAUAUGUGUUGUGAACAUGCAUGAUUUUUUUCAGAAUUUUUUGACAUGUUUAAAUUUGAAUUUUGCAAGUUGGUAGCAUUAAAGAGUUGGUAUCAGCAUAUUGUCCUUUCCCGUGUUUGUGUAAGCUAGUAGCAUUUUGUGUAGGCUAGCAUCUGGGCCAUGUGGAAAUCAAUGGAGAAAUUUUUCGGAGUGGCAUUGGAGCGUGCCGCGGGGAGGGGAAGCUAGGUGGCGUUGUGGCCAUGGGGUCGACGUGUUUGUGUGGGAAAGCUUCAGGUGAUAUCAGUCCUUCAAUGAUACCAUGAUACCAACUUGUAAGAUUCAAAUUUGGACGUGUCAAAAAAUUCUGAAAAAAUAUCAUAGAUGUUCGCAACACAUGGGUUAACAACCGCUAAAAAAUCAGACCAAAAUUCGACAUACACAAAGUGAAACAAAAACGGCAAAUCCAUCAUGAAUAUUGUCAAAACAAGACAAAAACAAAAAUGACACUAUUCACAUCUGAAUUUGUCUUUUUUUGUUUCUAUUUUGAAUUUUGAACUGAAUUUUUUAGGGGUUGUCGACAUAUGUGUUGUGAACAUGCAUGAUUUUUUUCAGAAUUUUUUGACAUGUUUAAAUUUGAAUUUUGCAAGUUGGUAGCAUUUAAGAGUAGGUAUCAGCAUAUUGUCCUUUCCCGUGUUUGUGUAAGCUAGUAGCAUUUUGUGUAGGCUAGCAUCUGGGUCGUGUGGAAAUCAAUGGAGAAAUUUUUCGGAGUGGCAUUGGAGCGUGCCGCGGGGAGGGGAAGCUAGGUGGCGUUGUGGCCAUGGGGUCGACGUGUUUGUGUGGGAAAGCUUCAGGUGAUAUCAGUCCUUCAAUGAUACCAUGAUACCACUUUGUAAGAUUCAAAUUUGGACGUGUCAAAAAAUUCUGAAAAAAUAUCAUAGAUGUUCGCAACACAUGGGUUAACAACCGCUAAAAAUCAGAUCAAAAUUCGACAUACACAAAGUGAAACAAAAACGGCAAAUCCAUCAUGAAUAUUGUCAAAACAAGACAAAAACAAAAAUGACACUAUUCACAUCUGAAUUUGUCUUUUUUUUGUUUCUAUUUUGAAUUUUGAACUGAAUUUUUUAGGGGUUGUCGACAUAUGUGUUGUGAACAUGCAUGAUUUUUUUCAGAAUUUUUUGACAUGUUUAAAUUUGAAUUUUGCAAGUUGGUAGCAUUUAAGAGUUGGUAUCAGCAUAUUGUCCUUUCCCGUGUUUGUGUAAGCUAGUAGCAUUUUGGGUAGGCUAGCAUCUGGGCCAUGUGGAAAUCAAUGGAGAAAUUUUUCGGAGUGGCAUUGGAGCGUGCCGCGGGGAGGGGAAGCUAGGUGGCGUUGUGGCCAUGGGGUCGACGUGUUUGUGUGGGAAAGCUUCAGGUGAUAUCAGUCCUUCAAUGAUACCAUGAUACCAACUUGUAAGAUUCAAAUUUGGACGUGUCAAAAAAUUCUGAAAAAAUAUCAUAGAUGUUCGCAACACAUGGGUUAACAACCGCUAAAAAAUCAGAUCAAAAUUCGACAUACACAAAGUGAAACAAAAACGGCAAAUCCAUCAUGAAUAUUGUCAAAACAAGACAAAAACAAAAAUGACACUAUUCACAUCUGAAUUUGUCUUUUUUUUGUUUCUAUUUUGAAUUUUGAACUGAAUUUUUUAGGGGUUGUCGACAUAUGUGUUGUGAACAUGCAUGAUUUUUUUCAGAAUUUUUUGACAUGUUUAAAUUUGAAUUUUGCAAGUUGGUAGCAUUUAAGAGUUGGUAUCAGCAUAUUGUCCUUUCCCGUGUUUGUGUAAGCUAGUAGCAUUUUGUGUAGGCUAGCAUCUGGGCCGUGUGGAAAUCAAUGGAGAAAUUUUUCGGAGUGGCAUUGGAGCGUGCCGCGGGGAGGGGAAUCUAGGUGGCGUUGUGGCCAUGGGGUCGACGUGUUUGUGUGGGAAAGCUUCAGGUGAUAUCAGUCCUUCAAUGAUACCAUGAUACCAACUUGUAAGAUUCAAAUUUGGACGUGUUAAAAAAUUCUGAAAAAAUAUCAUAGAUGUUCGCAACACAUGGGUUAACAACCGCUAAAAAAUCAGACCAAAAUUCGACAUACACAAAGUGAAACAAAAACGGCAAAUCCAUCAUGAAUAUUGUCAAAACAAGACAAAAACAAAAAUGACACUAUUCACAUCUGAAUUUGUCUUUUUUUGUUUCUAUUUUGAAUUUUGAACUGAAUUUUUUAGGGGUUGUCGACAUAAGUGUUGUGAACAUGCAUGAUUUUUUUCAGAAUUUUUUGACAUGUUUAAAUUUGAAUUUUAGAAGUUGGUAGCAUUUAAGAGUUGGUAUUAGCAUAUUGUCCUUUCCCGUGUUUGUGUAAUCUAGUAGCAUUUUGUGUAGGCUAGCAUCUGGGCCGUGUGGAAAUCAAUGGAGAAAUUUUUCGGAGUGGCAUUGGAGCGUGCCGCGGGGAGGGGAAGCUAGGUGGCGUUGUGGCCAUGGGGUCGACGUGUUUGUGUGGGAAAGCUUCAGGUGAUAUCAGUCCUUCAAUGAUACCAUGAUACCAACUUGUAAGAUUCAAAUUUGGACGUGUCAAAAAAUUCUGAAAAAAUAUCAUAGAUGUUCGCAACACAUGGGUUAACAACCGCUAAAAAAUCAGAUCAAAAUUCGACAUACACAAAGUGAAACAAAAACGGCAAAUCCAUCAUGAAUAUUGUCAAAACAAGACAAAAACAAAAAUGACACUAUUCACAUCUGAAUUUGUCUUUUUUUUGUUUCUAUUUUGAAUUUUGAACUGAAUUUUUUAGGGGUUGUCGACAUAUGUGUUGUGAACAUGCAUGAUUUUUUUCAGAAUUUUUUGACAUGUUUAAA